rfam:Triticum aestivum genome assembly, contig: Triticum_aestivum_CS42_TGACv1_scaffold_423370_5BS
GAUAUACUCCCUCCUUCCCAAAAUUCUUGUCUUAGAUUUGCCUAGAUACAAAUGUAUCAAGUCAGUUGAUACAUUCGUAUUUGCCUAGAUACGAAUGUAUCAAGUCAGUUGAUACAUUCGUAUCUAGGCAAAUCUAAGACAAGAAUUUUGGGACGGAGGGAGUACAUC